AUACGUAGGGUGCGAGCGUUGUCCGGAAUUACUGGGCGUAAAGAGCUCGUAGGUGGUUUGUCGCGUCGUCUGUGAAAUUCCAGGGCUUAACUCCGGGCGUGCAGGCGAUACGGGCAUAACUUGAGUACUGUAGGGGAGACUGGAAUUCCUGGUGUAGCGGUGAAAUGCGCAGAUAUCAGGAGGAACACCGGUGGCGAAGGCGGGUCUCUGGGCAGUAACUGACGCUGAGGAGCGAAAGCAUGGGUAGCGAACAGGAUUAGAUACCCUGGUAGUCCAUGCCGUAAACGGUGGGCGCUAGGUGUAGGGGUCUUCCACGACUUCUGUGCCGUAGCUAACGCAUUAAGCGCCCCGUCUGGGGAGUACGGCCGCAAGGCUAAAACUCAAAUGAAUUGACGGGG
rnacentral:rRNA from 1 species